AGCGAACGCUGGCGGCAGGCCUAACACAUGCAAGUCGAACGGAUCCUUCGGGAUUAGUGGCGGACGGGUGAGUAACACGUGGGAACGUGCCCUUUGGUUCGGAACAACUCAGGGAAACUUGAGCUAAUACCGGAUGUGCCCUUCGGGGGAAAGAUUUAUCGGCAUUGGAGCGGCCCGCGUCUGAUUAGCUAGUUGGUGAGGUAAAGGCUCACCAAGGCGACGAUCAGUAGCUGGUCUGAGAGGAUGAUCAGCCACAUUGGGACUGAGACACGGCCCAAACUCCUACGGGAGGCAGCAGUGGGGAAUCUUGCGCAAUGGGCGAAAGCCUGACGCAGCCAUGCCGCGUGAAUGAUGAAGGUCUUAGGAUCGUAAAAUUCUUUCACCGGGGACGAUAAUGACGGUACCCGGAGAAGAAGCCCCGGCUAACUUCGUGCCAGCAGCCGCAGUAA
rnacentral:rRNA from 1 species